UUAACGAAAGGGGGGUAAUGGUUCAUGCAAGUUGAUGGCCCAUCUAUGGGAUGGCUCAGAUCUCUCACCCCACAAGUCACCUUGAUCAACGGUCCAUAUUCAAUCUCAAGAAAUAGGCAAAUUAUGGGAAACCUUAAAGAAACCCUAGAUCUAUAAAUUUCACUAUAAAUAGGGAUGCUCUCCACCCAUCUCAACACAUCUCACUCUCCCAUAAACUCUCUCUCUCUCUUUCCUAGAGGCCAUGCCCUUCUCUCUCUACUCUUCUUUUUUUUUUUCUCUCUCUCUCAUGAUCUAAUCUAAGGGUUGGGAAAAUUAAGGUUUACUCACCAUACUUCAGCAGUUUGUAGGCUAACCUAACCAACCUUCCUUAUGAGUUCAAUCCCAUCCCCGGGUUUUUACGAGCCCCCUUCUUCUCUCAACGGCUUGGACCCAACUGGCACUUAGAGUGUCGGAUGCAAGCAACCAGCCUUUUCGCCUACUCAACGAAUAGAAUCUGCAUAGAGAAAAGUGCCUAGAUGAGUGAGCCGAGGGACUGUGUGACCCUUGUGUGUGAUGAUAGGCCUACAGUGAAGGGAGCCAAAACCUCAUCCAUGUUCCAUCACACAGCAUGCAUAUAGAUAGAUUGAUUAGGAAAGCUUGAUAUCCACCUUUAGGUGAAGCAUAUGCAUGUGCGAGAGAUACCCCUAUGCACCAUACAGAUGUGGUCGCAUCAGGCCGUGGUAACCUUGACUUGUCUCUAGGGAGGACCUGUAAUCCACAGACUGGGAUUACGACUCCUUGGCUCAUCGACCAGACUUUGGUGACCCGCUAAUGAGCCCUUGCUUGGACUGUGGGUUAUGAGAAACAUUGGGUAGGUUCGAUAAAAGUAAGUGUGGUCUGCAGUCCACAGUUGAAGGUGGAGUACCCCAUGAUCGUUGAUUGAAUUCCUGAACCAUAUGGAUCCACUUCUCAUCAUAUUAAUUUAAUUGUGUUGAAUUAUUUCAGAUUUAUUAUUUGAAUUUUUGUAAGUCAUUUGAUAUUUUAUUUCUUAUUUUUGGACUUAUAAAAAUGAAGUUAUUAAUUUACAAAGUUAUAAUGUUUUAAAAUUCAUUUUUUUAAAAAUAUUUAUUAUAAAAAAAAAAUACAUGGGGGCCCAUAGUACACAUGGGCCCACCAUGUGGGUAUUAGGUGGGGCCCCACAUACCAUACAUGGGUGGCACGCCCCACCCUUGGAUAUCUUAUCUUGUUUUGUCUUUAAGUUUGUUAAAAAUAGUAACUACAUCUUGUAGCAUAUGGUCAAAUAUCGAUUAAGAAAUAUUGACCAUAUCUUAUCUUGAUUAUUGAAGGAAUAUCUUGACUUGAUAUUAUUGACUAUGGUAUGCACUAUAUCUUUAAUUGAUUUAUAUAUAUAUUGAUGGGAAAAUUGUUUAAGGAAAGGGGGGUAAUGGUUCAUGCAAGUUGAUGGCCCAUUUAUGGGAUAACUCAGAUCUCUCACCCCACAAGUCACCUUGAUCAACGGUCCAUAUUCAAUCUCAAAAAAUAGGCAAACUAUGGGAAACCUUAAAGAAACCCUAGAUCUAUAAAUUUCACUAUAAAUAGGGAUACUCUCCCCCCAUCUCAACUCACCUCUCUCUCCCAUAAACUCUCUCUCUUCCUUAGAGGCCACGCCCCUCUCUCUACUCUUUUUUUUUUUUCUCUCUCUCAUGAUCUAAUCUAAAGGUUGGGAAAAUUAGGGUUUACUCACCAUACUUCAAGAGUUUGUAGGCUGACCUAACCAGCCUUCCUUAUGAGUUCAAUCCCAUCCCCGGGUUUUUACGAGCCCCCUUCUUCUCUCAACGGCAUGGACCCAGCUGGCACUUAGAGUGUCGGAGGCAAGCAACCAGCCUUUUCGCUUACUCAACGAAUAGAAUCUGCAUAGAGAAAAGUGCCUAGAUGAGUGAGCCGACGGACUGUGUGACUCUUGUGUGUGAUGAUAGGCCUACAGUGAAGGGGGCCAAAACCUCAUCCAUGUUCCAUCACACGACAUGCAUAUAGAUAGAUCGUUCGAAAAAAUUUGAUAUUCACCUUUGGGUGAAGCAUAUGCAUGUGCGAGAGAUACCCCUAUGCGUCAUACAACUGUGGUCGCAUCAGGUCGUGGUGACCUUGACUUGUCUCUAGGGAAGACCUGUAAUCCACAGACUGGGAUUGCGACUCCUUGGCUCAUAGACCAGACUUUGGUGACCCGCUAAUGAGCCCUUACUUGGACUGUGGGUCAUGAGAAAUACUAAGUCAGUUCGAUAAAAGUAAGUGUGGUCUAUAGUCCACAGUUGAAGGUGGAGUACCCCGUGAUCGUUGAUUAAAUUCAUGAACCAUAUGGAUCCACUUCUCAUCACAUUAAUUUAAUUGUGUUGCAUUAUUUCAAAUUUAUUAUUUGAAUUUUUGUAAGUCAUUUGAUAUUUUAUUUCUUAUUUUUGGACUUAUAAAAAUGAAGUUAUUAAUUUACAAAGUUAUAAUGUUUUAAAAUUCAUUUUUUAAAAAUAUUUAUUAAAAAAAAAAAUACAUGGAGGCUCAUAAUGCACUUUGGCCCACUACGGUAUGCACUAUAUCUUUAAUUGAUUUAAUUUAUUUAUAUAUAUAUUGAUGGGAAAAUGGUUUAAGGAAAGGGGGGUAAUGGUUCAUGCAAGUUGAUGGCCCAUCUAUGGAAUGGAUGGCUCAGAUCUCUCACCCCACAAGUCACCUUGAUCAACGGUCCAUUUCAAUUUUAAGAAAUAGGCAAACUAUGGAAAACCCUAAAAAAACUCUAGAUCUAUAAAUUUUACUAUAAAUAAGGAUGCUCUCCCCCCAUCUCAACACAUCUCUCUCUCCCAUAA
rnacentral:lncRNA from 1 species